rnacentral:rRNA from 1 species
CGCCUCUUGAUUACUAUAAGAGGUCCCGCCUGCCCUGUGACAAUGUUUAACGGCCGCGGUAUUUUGACCGUGCGAAGGUAGCGUAAUCACUUGUCUUUUAAAUGAAGACCUGUAUGAAAGGCAUCACGAGAGUUUAACUGUCUCUAUUUUCUAAUCAAUGAAAUUGAUUUUCCCGUGAAGAAGCGGGAAUAAUACCAUAAGACGAGAAGACCCUAUGGAGCUUCAAACACUUAGAUUAAUUUUUAAAAAUUUUUUUACCCUAAGGGGAAAAAAUCCACAUAAUAUUUUUAAUUUAAUUGUUUUUGGUUGGGGUGACCAAGGGGAAAAACAAAUCCCCCUUAUCGAUUGAGUAUUAAAUACUUAAAAAUUAAAGCGACAGCUUUAAUUAAUAAAACAUUUAUCGAACAAUGACCCAGGAUUUACUGAUCAAUGAACCAAGUUACCCUAGGGAUAACAGCGCAAUCCUUUCCUAGAGUCCCUAUCGCCGAAAGGGUUUACGACCUCGAUGUUGGAUCAGGACAUCCUAAUGGUGUAACCGCUAUUAAGGGUUCGUUUGUUCAACGAUUAAUAGUCCU